AGAGUUUGAUCAUGGCUCAGAACGAACGCUGGCGGCAGGCUUAACACAUGCAAGUCGAACGCCCCGCAAGGGGAGUGGCAGACGGGUGAGUAACGCGUGGGAAUCUACCCAAUUCUACGGAACAACAGUUGGAAACGACUGCUAAUACCGUAUACGCCCUACGGGGGAAAGAUUUAUCGGAAUUGGAUGAGCCCGCGUUGGAUUAGCUAGUUGGUGGGGUAAAGGCCUACCAAGGCGACGAUCCAUAGCUGGUCUGAGAGGAUGAUCAGCCACAUUGGGACUGAGACACGGCCCAAACUCCUACGGGAGGCAGCAGUGGGGAAUAUUGGACAAUGGGGGCAACCCUGAUCCAGCCAUGCCGCGUGCAGGAAGACUGCCCUAUGGGUUGUAAACUGCUUUUAUACGGGAAGAAACACCGCUACGUGUAGCGGCUUGACGGUACCGUAAGAAUAAGGAUCGGCUAACUCCGUGCCAGCAGCCGCGGUAAUACGGAGGAUCCAAGCGUUAUCCGGAAUCAUUGGGUUUAAAGGGUCCGUAGGUGGAUGAUUAAGUCAGGGGUGAAAGUCUGCAGCUCAACUGUAGAAUUGCCCUUGAUACUGGUCAUCUUGAGUCAUUAUGAAGUAGUUAGAAUAUGUAGUGUAGCGGUGAAAUGCAUAGAUAUUACAUAGAAUACCAAUUGCGAAGGCAGAUUACUAAUAAUGUACUGACACUGAUGGACGAAAGCGUGGGGAGCGAACAGGAUUAGAUACCCUGGUAGUCCACGCCGUAAACGAUGGUCACUAGCUGUUCGGACCUUGUGUCUGAGUGGCUAAGCGAAAGUGAUAAGUGACCCACCUGGGGAGUACGUUCGCAAGAAUGAAACUCAAAGGAAUUGACGGGGGCCCGCACAGGCGGUGGAGCAUGUGGUUUAAUUCGAUGCAACGCGAAGAACCUUACCUACCCUUGACAUCCAGAGAACUUUCCAGAGAUGGAUUGGUGCUUUCGAGAACUCUGAGACAGGUGCUGCAUGGCUGUCGUCAGCUCGUGUUGUGAAAUGUUGGGUUAAGUCCCGUAACGAGCGCAACCCUUGUCCUUAUUUGCCAGCACGUAAUGGUGGGAACUCUAAGGAGACUGCCGGUGACAAACCGGAGGAAGGUGGGGACGACGUCAAGUCAUCAUGGCCCUUACGGGUAGGGCUACACACGUGCUACAAUGGGCCGGUACAA
rnacentral:rRNA from 1 species